AUUUUCGAGAGUGACGUCGCUGCGGACUUCAGUUCGCAUCCGGACUUCGUCGGUGAAGGUUCCUCUGCUGUUUUGUCGGUUGGAACGGGAACCUCGCCCGCUUAGGGUCCUGGUCACAGAGAAAGGUGCCCGCUAGGCCUCUCUCGCCCUUGCGAGCGCUUCAUCAGUUUAAGUCCCUAGACGUCGUUGCGUUCGCGGACGGAACCCCGAUCUGAGAAGGAAGUCAUGUCUUCGGCCGCCGUGUCCAAGUAUGUGAACGACAUGUGGCCCGGCUCUCCGCAGGAGAAAGCCUCGCCGUCCACCUCGGGCUCGGGCCGCUCCAGCCGCCUGUCUUCGCGCUCCCGCAGCCGCUCUUCGUCCCGCAGCUCCAGACCCCACUCCCGCAGCUCCAGCCGCUCGUCCUCGCGGAGCCAUAGCCGGCCGCGGAGGAGCAGACGGUCCCGAUCCCGAUCCCGGUCCCGCAGGCGCCACCAGCGCAAGUACCGGCGAUACUCGCGGUCGUACUCACGCAGCCGAUCGCGGUCCCGCGGCCACCGCUACUACCGAGACAGCCGUUACGAGCAGCCGCGGAGGUACUACCAGUCGCCGUCGCCCUACCGGUCCCGGAGCAGGUCGCGCUCCCGUGGGAGGUCCCAUCACCGGAGGUCGUACUACGCGAUCACUCGAGGGCGGCGCUACUAUGGCUUCGGCCGAACCGUGUACCCGGAGGAUCGCCCCAGGUGGCGGGAAAGAUCCAGGACCAGGUCGCGCAGCAGGAGCAGAACCCCUUUUCGCCUGAGUGAGAAAGAUCGAAUGGAGCUGCUAGAAAUAGCAAAAGCCAACGCAGCAAAAGCUCUAGGAACAGCCAACUUUGACCUGCCAGCAAGUCUCCGUGCCAAGGAAGCAAGCCAGGGAGCUGUUUCCUGCAGUGGGCCAAAGACGGAGGUAAGUCCAUUCAGAAAGCUGCUGCCGGCUGUUAGUACCCUGUGCAGUGUACCAUAGACAGCCCUCCUGGGGCGUCUUUGUGUUAUUUGUCCAGAACAAAACCUUAAUCUGACAAGUAUCAGAGUCUCUCCCAGGAAACUGGGAGACGAUGAACAAAACCUUAAUCUGACAAGUAUCAGAGAAUCUCUCCCAGGAAACUGGGAGAUGAUGAACUUCUUUCAUUUUGACACUUGGUUUGUUUUUUCCACAACUGUAAAAACAGUAUGUUACUGGUAAUACUUUUUCUCUCUCUGUCUAGUCUUUAGAGACUGGAGUGUUCUCUCAGUAGUUUUCAUGUACACCAUUAUGUUCCCAAAAGUCUGUGCUCAGCAUACAGUAUAGUUUAUCUGCUUUAUUUCUGUCUUAUAGAAAUCAUGAAUGUGGUCUCCAGACAAUGAUGAAGAAAAUCUGUUGAUGUUUUGAGAGAUUACAGAAGAAGAGGCCUGCUUCACUUGCAGAUAAGUUUAUUACAAUUCUCCAGAACUACAGAGGAUGUGCACUGGCACCUCGCAUUGUAUUUAUAGGUUAAUUUUUCAUGUGUGAAACCUUGAUCUUAAGAUUUUGGGCUGGGAUGUAACUCAGUUUGUAGAGAGCCUGUCGAGGGUGCAGUAACACUGGGGGUUAGUUCCCAGCACUGAUAACUGGGUUUAGUACCCCAUACCUGUGAUCCCCAGCAGUUGGGAGACUGUCCUUGGACAGCUAGGGGAUAGAUACAAGAGAUGUGGUCUCAGAAAACCACUUUAUAGAAAUGUAAGGUUAAAAAGAUAACAGAAUAAUGGAGAUAGUUUGUCUGUUGCUGAGAUCUCAGGGGCUGUAUAGUGUUUGCUCAGGCAAGUGCCCAAGAGGGGCGCCUUGAUGAAUGAAUUACAAAUGCUUCAGUUCUUUGACAAACAUUUUUUAUUGUACUUACUCAGAAUGAGUUGUAUCUACAACAGGAAUCUGGUAUUCAUGGGGAACUGUGUCUCCUAAGUCAAUCUUGCUAAGUGGAAAA